rnacentral:lncRNA from 1 species
CCUGGGCACCUGGUGGGAUUGCAUUCACAGUUCCUCAAAGUGACCAAGUGAUUUGCAUUGAGCAUUGAAAGAUAUCCCCCUGGGGCACCGGCCUAGAACAGAGCAACAAAUAUUUACUAAUUCCAUUAACAGAAGAGAGUUGGAAUUUUUUUUUCCCAAGCGAAUAUCCGAGGCCCCAAGUUCAUGCCACCCAAAGUUACACUUUGGUUCACCAAGACGAAGACUCAUCCUUCCUCUCUCUAUGGAUCUUUCAGAUGAAGAAAUUAAGGCUCAGGAGGGAGGAAAAAAAUAAAAGAAAGAAUUGUCCAAGGUCACCAAGGCAUCUGGACUCCCAUAUGUUGAGCUACUUCUGCUUGUGGGGCAGCUGCAAUACAUGAAUUCUUCACUACAGGACUCAUUCUUGGAGCCCAGUCUCCAUACUGUGAGGAAGCCCAAAAGGCACACACUAACAGAACACGUGGAAAAGCUUCAGCCUCGUGUAGAUGUUCUGGUCAACAUCCCAGUUGAUGUCACAGCCAACAGCCUGCAUCAAGUGCCUGACACGUGAGUGAUGACACCUCCAGAUGAUUCCAGCCCCUAGCCAUUGGAUCACCCCCAGCUGUCAAAUCUUCCAGCUGAGGCCCCAGACAUUGUGGGGCAGAGACAAGCUGUUCCCAUUGUGCCCCAUCCAAAUUCCUGACCCACAGAAUGAAUGAGCA